CAGUAGCCGCGGGAAAACGUAGGGUGCGAGCGUUAAUCGGAAUUACUGGGCGUAAAGCGUGCGCAGGCGGUUGUGUAAGGCAGGUGUGAAAUUCCUGGGCUCAACCUGGGGGCUGCAUUUGAUACGUGCGUGCUAGAGUGUGGAAGAGGGUCGUGGAAUUCCCAGUGUAGAGGUGAAAUUCGUAGAUAUUGGGAAGAACACCGGUGGCAAAGGCGGCGACCCGGUCCAUUACUGACGCUGAGGCGCGAAAGCGUGGGGAGCAAACAGGAUUAGAUACCCGCGUAGUCCCUGUCUCUUAUAC
rnacentral:rRNA from 1 species